rnacentral:tRNA from 1 species
AGCGAAUAGUUUAAAUAAAAUAUUAGUUUUGGAGACUAAAGUUGUUAAUUACUUUACUGAU